rnacentral:lncRNA from 1 species
UGAAACAUUUAUUUAUUUUAUUAUACCAACAAUUAAACUUUAGUGGCUAAAAUAUAUCAAUUAAUUAAUAUAGGAAGGAAGGUUCCUUCAUCUUCCCUCAAUAAUGCCAUUAGAGCCUAAUUUUAAUGUCAUAAUCUCAUAUUUAAUUAUUCAAUCUUUUGUUUAGUGCCUUUUGGCUUCUUCAAACUCUAUAAAUAUUAAGUAGUUAAGAUUUGUGGCAUCAUUAUUUCUCAUCUUUUUUUAUUCUCUAUUAUCUAAUAUAUUGGUUGAGAUUAAAAAAUAAUUACAUUACAAAAUAUUAAAAAUAGAAAAUAAUUAAUAGAUUACAAAAGAUUACAUGUCUCUUCCUCUUUCUAUUUAAAUACAACAAUAUGUAACCAUUAAUAAUAAAUUAAUUAUAAGUUUUGAAACAUUCAUUUAUUUUAUUAAGCCAACAACUAAAUUUUAGUGGUUUAAAAUACAUCAACUAAUUAAUAUAGGAAGGAAGGUUCCUUCAUCUUCCCCUACCAAUGCCAUUAGGACCUAAUUUUAAUGUUAUAAUCCUAUAUUUAAUUAUGCAACUUUUUAUUUAGUGUCUUUUGGCUUUUUCAAACUCUAUAAAUAUUAAGCAUUUAAGAUUUGUUAUGUUUAAGUUUUUUUUUUAUUUAACGAACAUCCUCUUUAAAAAUGUUAUUGUGUUUUUAUUUUUUGACUUAUUUAAAUUUUUAGUAUUGUGUGCUUCAUGGAGUACUCUUUUCUUCAUGAGUUAAACAAUGAUAAAGAUAGUUGGAUGAUAAGGGUUAGGCUUUGUAAGAUGUGGGAGUCUGUUAAUACCAAGAAAAAUAGAGAGUUGAUUAGUGUGAACAUGAUUGUUAUUGAUUAAAAAGUUGUGUACACUUAACUAUACACAUUAAUAUUUUUUUUAAUGUUAACAAAAAAAUAAUAAACUUUCAUAAAUAACAUUAGUUUUCUAAGGCUUCGUCAUCUUUAAAAAAAAAUUCAUAUUUUUUAUCAAUUUCAUCGAAUGCAACGUAAUAAAAAAGAUAAUACUAAAUUUUUUUUUUAAAACCGCACGAAGUGCGGUUUUAUUUCCUAGUUACAAAAUAAGCAAGGCUAAAGAGAGAGAAAAACUAGAGAAAGACAAGAGAAAAUGAGAGAAUUUUACUCUCUGUCUCUAUCCAGCCCACUUUCUCUCUCUUUCUUUUCAAUACACUUUCUCUCAUCUUUCGCUUUCUUUAGUAUUUUACAAACCCAACUAGUUGCCGCCCACAUGUUAGAUUUAAAAAAAAAAAUUCUCUUCUUUUUUCUAAUCAUUAACACUUCUUAUUUGAGGAGAAAAAAAAAAAACUAGCGUUAUUGACUUGUUUUAAAAUGAAUGAAUAUCCAAUAAAAUUAAUGUGUUGCUUCAAAACCCAAAUUAGUUUAUUUUACCUCUAUUUCUCUUAUAAUUUAAAUUCAGAUGCUUUAUCGGUUAAGCUGACUAUACAUAGCAGCAAAUUAAUUAAUUUCUAAAGAAAGUUCCAUUCCAGCAUAGAUAAAUGACAUAUUAUCUUUUGUAUUAUAUCAUUGCUUUAGAAAAUUAAAUUAAAUAAUGAACUCUGAACAUUUCUUAAGGGACAUUACCAAACUAGUGAAGUUGUUUAUUAUUAUUAUUAUUAUCCGUGAAGUUUAAAAUGUUUAAAAAUUAAAGUAGAUUUUUUGGUAAUUUAAAAUUUCAAAUCUAGUUUUCUUGUUUAAAUUCUUCUCCAAGAAUAAAACUGCAUUAUCCGUAGUAUCUCCCACUUCCAUAAUACCAAAAUAAAGCAAAUCCAAGGAACAAAAGACAGAAGGGUGAAUUUAAAGAGACUGAAAGUUAACUCAAAACUUCCAAAAGUUAUAUCAUAUAUUCCAAAAGAAAUUCCAAAAAUUUGAAUGCCUGACAAAUAACUAGGAUAAUAAUUAGAGAAAGGUCUAAAGUUUAUAAUCAUUGGAAAGAGACGAAUUGAAUUGGAAAUCAAAAGCUUGACCUUUUUAUACAGGCAUUGCAUCCAGAUAGAGAUAAAGCAGCAAACUAACUAUUCUCACGACUGUACACGAGUCCUCAAGGCCGCAUGACUGCAUCUUGGAGAUGACAGAGAUCAUAAAGAUUUGAUUUGAACGAUUAUUCUUUCAUGCAACACAGGUCACGAUAUUCACACAUAACUCAAAAAUCAAAAUCAAAAUAAUGGCAAUUUCUUCCGUUUCUGGACAUGUGGCAUGGCGUGACUGGCGUUUACUUCUUAUAAAUGACAUGUUACGUACGUUGAGUGUAUUUUGUCCAAAGACUACGGAAUCAAAAUUGACCUUGCAUGAAGGCCAAAAACGUGUCAACAGACAACGUUACUGUGUAGACCUUUCCCAUUCAACUACUGCUCGACCGAAUCUUCUUCAUGCAAAUUAAAUUAUACCCCAGUCAAUGGUGCACGUGUUGUUCUAAUUUUUAACAACUUUCAUAAUUAAUUUCCCGAGCAAAUUACUGAAUUGUGGUAGUUGAGCAAUUCGGCAGCAAAUUUUCUUUUUCUUCCUUCUUGUUUGGGUUGAUUUUCUCACCUACUGCCCUCGCUGCCGAGUGCCGUGUAAUUUCAUCAAAGUUUACCUACAAAUUAAAGUACUUCUUGGAAUAAAGUUGAAGUUACAGUAUAAUUAUUUGUUUAUUCAUUUUUAUCGAUGAAUGGGAUUAUGAGAACAGGAGGUGGAAGAAAGAAAUAAUUAUAAAAAUUUGAUAAAUU